GACGAACGCUGGCGGCGUGCUUAACACAUGCAAGUCGAACGGAAAGGCCCUGCUUUUGUGGGGUGCUCGAGUGGCGAACGGGUGAGUAACACGUGAGUAACCUGCCCUUGACUUUGGGAUAACUUCAGGAAACUGGGGCUAAUACCGGAUAGGAGCUCCUGCUUCAUGGUGGGGGUUGGAAAGUUUCGGCGGUUGGGGAUGUACUCGCGGCUUAUCAGCUUGUUGGUGUGGUAGUGGCUUACCAAGGCUUUGACGGGUAGCCGGCCUGAGAGGGUGACCGGCCACAUGGGGACUGAGAUACGGCACAGACUACUACGGGAGGCAGCAGUGGGGAAUAUUGCACAAUGGGCGGAAGCCUGAUGCAGCAACGCCGCGUGCGGGAUGACGGCCUUCGGGUUGUAAACCGCUUUCGCCUGUGACGAAGCGUGAGUGACGGUAAUGGGUAAAGAAGCACCGGCUAACUACGUG
rnacentral:rRNA from 1 species